UCUGCUAUGGAUGUCAACUAAACAUGGCAUAACAAGUUGCAAUAAGACCAGGCACAAACCUUCAUAUCAAGGCUGGAUGAGGCAACCCAAGAGGAGGAAAAGGGUCCCAAAAGCAGGAGUGAAGCCUAGCUAACUACUCAGAGCAGGUGGAAUCAUGGCUGUUGGAGGAGAAUCAACAACCACUCAUUUACUAAACCAGUAUAAUUCCUACAAUUCUACACACAUUGGUCCUUAUAUCCACAGUGGAUGAGCAGCUUUUGGGGUCACAGCUGGAGAGACAAGGAUGAGCGAGGACUCCGGGACCACCACCGACUACAAGAAGCGAGCUACAGGAAGGCUUCGCUGCCCUGCCCAACACACCAGAAGAGGGCAUCAGAUCCCAUUACAGAUGAUUGCUGGGAAGUGAACUCAGGACCUCUGCCUGGAAAAGUCGUCAGUGCUCUUAACUGCUGAAUCAUCUCUCCAACCCCUUGAACUCAUAUUUUAGUUCUACCUCCUCUUUCACAAUGAUCCCUGAGCUUUUGGAGGAGGAGUUCU
rnacentral:lncRNA from 1 species